UCUGCGAUUCAACUGAAAAUGUGAGUUUCCUCGCUGUUGUUGCCAUAUAUGGUUCCUUUGAUUGCCUUUUUGAUUCCUCCUUCUCCGAUACAGGUUGCAUGACUGUCGGAGCACCUCCCAUUCCUAGAAACCAUUGUAGCAAUGAAAUUGGGUUUAAUCUCUAUGGGAUUCCACUUUCAUGGGUUACCAAUCGAUUCAUAGAUACAGUGUGAGUGAAUAUUUUGUGUAGGUGAUGGUGGUUUGUGGUGGCCGACAGUGG
rnacentral:lncRNA from 1 species